UACAGAGGUGGCAAGCGUUGUUCGGAAUUACUGGGCGUAAAGGGCGCGUAGGCGGCCAUCUAAGUCAGCCGUGAAAUCCCCCGGCUCAACCUGGGAACUGCGUCUGAUACUGGACGGCUUGAGUUUGGGAGAGGGAUGUAGAAUUCCAGGUGUAGCGGUGAAAUGCGUAGAUAUCUGGAGGAAUACCGGUGGCGAAGGCGGCAUCCUGGACCAAUACUGACGCUGAGGCGCGAAAGCUAGGGGAGCAAACGGG
rnacentral:rRNA from 1 species